AUUGAACGCUGGCGGCAGGCCUAACACAUGCAAGUCGAACGAGUGGCGGACGGGUGCGUAAUGUCUGGGAAACUGCCUGAUGGAGGGGGAUAACUACUGGCAACGGUAGCUAAUACCGCAUACCAUCGGAUGUGCCCAGAUGGGAUUAGCUAGUAGGUGGGGUAACGGCUCACCUAGGCGACGCUCCCUAGCUGGUCUGAGAGGAUGACCGGCAACACUGGAACUGAGACACGGUCCAGACUCCUACGGGAGGCAGCAGUGGGAAAUAUUGCACAAGGGGCGAAAGCCGGAUGCAGCCAUGCCGCGUGGAUGAAGAAGGCCUUCGGGUGGUAAAGUACGUUCAGCAGGGAGGCGUUACCCGCAGAAGAAGCACCGGCUAACUCCGUGCCAGCAGCCGCGGUAAUUC
rnacentral:rRNA from 1 species